rnacentral:tRNA from 1 species
GGGAGGGUGGCCGAGUGGUCUAAGGCGCAGGAUUAAGGCUCCUGUUCGAAAGAGCGCGGGUUCAAACCCCGUCCCUCUCA